GACGAACGCUGGCGGCGUGCCUAAUACAUGCAAGUCGAGCGAAGUUUUUCUGGUGCUUGCCCUAGAAAAACUUAGCGGCGCACGGGUGAGUAACACGUAAAGAACCUGCCUCAUAGACUGGGACUACCAUUGGAAACGAUAGCUAAUACCCGAUUACAGCAUUCACUGCAAGGCUGAUGUUUAAAAGUUGGUUUUGCUAACACUAUGAGAUGGCUUUGCGGUGCAUUAGCUAGUUGGUGGGGUAAAGCCCUACCAAGGCGACGAUGCAUAGCCGACCUGAGAGGGUGAUCGGCCACACUGGGACUGAGAAACGGCCCAGACUCCUACGGGAGGCAGCAGUGGGGAAUCUUGCGCAAUGGGCGAAAGCCUGACGGAGCAACGCCGCGUGGGUGAAGAAGGAUUCGGUUCGUAAAGCUCUGUUGUUAGGGAAGAAUGAUUGUGUAGUAACUAUACACAGUAGAGACGGUACCUAAACAGAAAGCCACGGCUAACUACGUG
rnacentral:rRNA from 1 species